rnacentral:rRNA from 1 species
GAUGAACGCUGGCGGCGUGCCUAAUACAUGCAAGUCGAGCGAACGGACGAGAAGCUUGCUUCUCUGAUGUUAGCGGCGGACGGGUGAGUAACACGUGGAUAACCUACCUAUAAGACUGGGAUAACUUCGGGAAACCGGAGCUAAUACCGGAUAAUAUUUUGAACCGCAUGGUUCAAAAGUGAAAGACGGUCUUGCUGUCACUUAUAGAUGGAUCCACGCUGCAUUAGCUAGUUGGUAAGGUAACGGCUUACCAAGGCAACGAUGCAUAGCCGACCUGAGAGGGUGAUCGGCCACACUGGAACUGAGACACGGUCCAGACUCCUACGGGAGGCAGCAGUAGGGAAUCUUCCGCAAUGGGCGAAAGCCUGACGGAGCAACGCCGCGUGAGUGAUGAAGGUCUUCGGAUCGUAAAACUCUGUUAUUAGGGAAGAACAUAUGUGUAAGUAACUGUGCACAUCUUGACGGUACCUAAUCAGAAAGCCACGGCUAACUACGUGCCAGCAGCCGCGGUAAUACGUAGGUGGCAAGCGUUAUCCGGAAUUAUUGGGCGUAAAGCGCGCGUAGGCGGUUUUUUAAGUCUGAUGUGAAAGCCCACGGCUCAACCGUGGAGGGUCAUUGGAAACUGGAAAACUUGAGUGCAGAAGAGGAAAGUGGAAUUCCAUGUGUAGCGGUGAAAUGCGCAGAGAUAUGGAGGAACACCAGUGGCGAAGGCGACUUUCUGGUCUGUAACUGACGCUGAUGUGCGAAAGCGUGGGGAUCAAACAGGAUUAGAUACCCUGGUAGUCCACGCCGUAAACGAUGAGUGCUAAGUGUUAGGGGGUUUCCGCCCCUUAGUGCUGCAGCUAACGCAUUAAGCACUCCGCCUGGGGAGUACGACCGCAAGGUUGAAACUCAAAGGAAUUGACGGGGACCCGCACAAGCGGUGGAGCAUGUGGUUUAAUUCGAAGCAACGCGAAGAACCUUACCAAAUCUUGACAUCCUUUGACAACUCUAGAGAUAGAGCCUUCCCCUUCGGGGGACAAAGUGACAGGUGGUGCAUGGUUGUCGUCAGCUCGUGUCGUGAGAUGUUGGGUUAAGUCCCGCAACGAGCGCAACCCUUAAGCUUAGUUGCCAUCAUUAAGUUGGGCACUCUAAGUUGACUGCCGGUGACAAACCGGAGGAAGGUGGGGAUGACGUCAAAUCAUCAUGCCCCUUAUGAUUUGGGCUACACACGUGCUACAAUGGACAAUACAAAGGGCAGCGAAACCGCGAGGUCAAGCAAAUCCCAUAAAGUUGUUCUCAGUUCGGAUUGUAGUCUGCAACUCGACUACAUGAAGCUGGAAUCGCUAGUAAUCGUAGAUCAGCAUGCUACGGUGAAUACGUUCCCGGGUCU